GAAUUCGCCCUUAGAGUUUGAUCCUGGCUCAGGAUGAACGCUGGCGGCGUGCCUAACACAUGCAAGUCGAACGAAGCUUGACGGUGGAACUCUUCGGAGGGAAACCUGAUAUGACUUAGUGGCGGACGGGAGAGUAACACGUGAGCAACCUGCCUUUCAGAGGGGGACAACGACUGGAAACGGUCGCUAAUACCGCAUGAUAUGUUCGGAUGGCAUCAUCUGAACAUCAAAGAUUUAUCGCUGAAAGAUGGGCUCGCGUCUGAUUAGAUAGUUGGUGAGGUAACGGCUCACCAAGUCGACGAUCAGUAGCCGGACUGAGAGGUUGAACGGCCACAUUGGGACUGAGAUACGGCCCAGACUCCUACGGGAGGCAGCAGUGGGGAAUAUUGCACAAUGGGGGAAACCCUGAUGCAGCAACCCCGCGUGAAGGAAGACGGUUUUCGGAUUGUAAACUUCUUUUCUUUGUGAAGAAACAAAUGACGGUAGCAAAGGAAUAAGCAUCGGCUAACUACGUGCCAGCAGCCGCGGUAAUACGUAGGAUGCAAGCGUUAUCCGGAUUUACUGGGUGUAAAGGGAGCGCAGGCGGGACUUCAAGUUGGAUGUGAAAUGUCAAGGCUUAACCAUGGCACUGCAUCCAAAACUGUAGUUCUUGAGUGGAGUAGAGGUAAGCGGAAUUCCGAGUGUAGCGGUGAAAUGCGUAGAUAUUCGGAGGAACACCAGUGGCGAAGGCGGCUUACUGGGCUCUAACUGACGCUGAGGCUCGAAAGUGUGGGGAGCAAACAGGAUUAGAUACCCUGGUAGUCCACACUGUAAACGAUGAUAGCUAGGUGUGGGGGGUCUGACCCCUUCCGUGCUGGAGUUAA
rnacentral:rRNA from 1 species